GGAUUGUGUUGACUCCCACAAAUGCUUGGGAAUCUGAACAAAAUGAGUGAGCAGUCCCUAUGGUCUCCUCAUUGAAAUUAAGUUC
ensembl:snoRNA SNORD116 Small nucleolar RNA SNORD116